CCAUCAGGUAGGAUAGUCCUUACCUGUUCCUCCUCUGGGAGGCAAAUAAAACAUGAUGGAUGACUGGAGCGCCCAUAACUGGUGAUUAAGGUCACUAUGUGACCAGAGACUUACAACACCCUGGUUGCUCCUAUCUGAU